AGAACGAACGCUGGCGGCAUGCCUAAUACAUGCAAGUCGAACGAACACUUCGGUGUUAGUGGCGCACGGGUGCGUAACGCGUGGGAAUCUGCCCUUGGGUUCGGAAUAACAGUUGGAAACGACUGCUAAUACCGGAUGAUAUCGAAAGAUCAAAGAUUUAUCGCCCAGGGAUGAGCCCGCGUAGGAUUAGCUAGUUGGUGAGGUAAAGGCUCACCAAGGCGACGAUCCUUAGCUGGUCUGAGAGGAUGAUCAGCCACACUGGGACUGAGACACGGCCCAGACCUCCGUACGGGAGGCAGCGAGUAGGGAAUUAGUUAGGACAAGUCGGGCGACG
rnacentral:rRNA from 1 species